GAUGAAGAACGUAGCGAAAUGCGAUAAGUAAUGUGAAUUGCAGAAUUCAGUGAAUCAUCGAAUCCUUGAACGCACAUUGCGCCCGCCAGCACUCUGGCGGGCAUGCCUGUUCGAGCGUCAUUUCAACCAUCAAGCCCCCAGGGGCUUGUGCUGGGGCCCUGCGGCUGCCCGCAGGCCCUGAAAACCAGUGGCGGGCUCGCUAGUCACACCGAGCGCAGUAGCACAUCUCGCUCAGGGCGUGCGGCGGGCUCCUGCCGUGAAACCCCCCACUGUAACCCCAAAGGUUGACCUCGGAUCAGGUAGGAAUACCCGCUGAACUUAAGCAUAUCAAUAAGCGGAGGA
rnacentral:misc_RNA from 1 species